rnacentral:rRNA from 1 species
UACGAAGGGGACUAGCGUUGUUCGGAAUUACUGGGCGUAAAGGGCGCGUAGGCGGCCUUCUAAGUCGAACGUGAAAUCCCCGGGCUCAACCCGGGAACUGCGUCCGAUACUGGAAGGCUUGAAUCCGGGAGAGGGAUGCGGAAUUCCAGGUGUAGCGGUGAAAUGCGUAGAUAUCUGGAGGAACACCGGUGGCGAAGGCGGCAUCCUGGACCGGCAUUGACGCUGAGGCGCGAAAGCCAGGGGAGCAAACGGG